CGCGGCCUAUCAGCUUGUUGGUGGGGUAAUGGCCUACCAAGGCGACGACGGGUAGCCGGCCUGAGAGGGCGACCGGCCACACUGGGACUGAGACACGGCCCAGACUCCUACGGGAGGCAGCAGUGGGGAAUAUUGCACAAUGGGCGAAAGCCUGAUGCAGCGACGCCGCGUGAGAGAUGACGGCCUUCGGGUUGUAAACCUCUUUCAGCAGGGACGAAGCGUAAGUGACGGUACCUGCAGAAGAAGCGCCGGCCGACUACGUGCCAGCAGCCGCGGUAAGACGUAGGGCGCGAGCGUUGUCCGGAUUUAUUGGGCGUAAAGAGCUCGUAGGCGGCUUGUCGCGUCGACUGUGAAAACCCGCAGCUCAACUGCGGGCCUGCAGUCGAUACGGGCAGGCUAGAGUUCGGUAGGGGAGACUGGAAUUCCUGGUGUAGCGGUGGAAUGCGCAGAUAUCAGGAGGAACACCGGUGGCGAAGGCGGGUCUCUGGGCCGAUACUGACGCUGAGGAGCGAAAGCGUGGGGAGCGAACAGGAUUAGAUACCCUGGUAGUCCACGCUGUAAACGUUGGGCGCUAGGUGUGGGGGACCUCUCCGGUUCUCUGUGCCGCAGCUAACGCAUUAAGCGCCCCGCCUGGGGAGUACGG
rnacentral:rRNA from 1 species